GGCGUAUGAAAAUCAGGGUCAUGACUGACUCAACAAAAAUGUCUGAAGUAACCAAUGAAAUCAAGGUAUCCACCUCCCAACCUCUCACACCAUCCAACUCCACUCCUGCUACCUUCAUUCCCCCUGCUCCCACCACUUCCUGUGUGUGUAAAGUCUCCACUUCCUGUUCCUCUCCGACCCAGCCCGAGUCUCCGCCACCUGCGCUGGGUGUUAUCAAGGUCAAAUGGGAAGAAAAGUCCUGUAAGGGGGAUGUACACCUGUCUCUCCUCUCGUCCCAUUCCUUACCAGUCUGCUUUAACAGUCUUACCCAUCGUAGUCUUCAUCGUGCAGGGCUGUGUAAGAGGAAGGGCUGCGAGGGCUCCCCAACGUGGACUAAGAUCAAUCCUAAAGCUUUGGGUUACCAGAUCAGUACGAAUGGAAGUGUUGCCAACAACCCCUGUACAACACUGGGGAUCCAAUGCGACGUCGUCUCAGAUCAGUUAGUGGGCUAUAAGGUGGUGACUGGUCUACUGUGUGUUCUGGUGCUGGUGGUGCUGAUGGUGCGUUUCGGGCAGCCCUCCCUCAAGGCCCUCCGUAGGAGACUGUCAGACAAGAGGCAGAGUCGGUGGAUCGGACCUACGCAGAGCCAAAGUGUCUCCUACCAUAGAGGGAAGGCUGGACUCCAACUUAACGACAACACAGACAAGAGACACUCCUACCCUGGAUUGGAGAGGCUGACGGUGAACACCAGCCGAGAGCCUUCGUCUAACAGAAACAGUGAUUAUGACUCUUAUAACUUGUGAUCAUCAUCAUCAUCAGUCAUAUCCUUCACCCACAAUGACAAU
ensembl:lncRNA